GUAAGGCCGGAAGCCACUGGCUCUCUCUGCCCAUUCGCACCGUGGAACGUCACUGCCAUGGAGAUGACCAUUCCCCUAAACCGGCAUAGUUGGGUGAGGACUCCAGAAAGGCCUCUCAGGAAGGCAACAGUGCAUGGCGACUCUUUACCCCUUCGCCCGCCUCCUGAUCUACGUACUCGCCUAUUCCUGCGUUUACUCGUGUUUGUACAUGUUGGUUUACUUUCUUCGCAUUUUUGUAGAGGAUUAGGCAGCCAAGCUGGACCAAAGUCACCAGGGUGGUGAAGGCCCGGCCCACCGCCGAAGAAAUGGCCAAUUUCUUUCAAAUGCUGUAUACUGGAAAAAUCCAAAGGACUCAUCAGAUGAACACAUUUCAAAGAGCCACUACCAAUUUUUUUUCUUAAGCAAAGCAUCAAGCCUCUGAUUUGCCGCUGAUAAAUUCUCUGUGUCAGACACUGCUCCAGGCCAGGAACACAAGAAGGAAA
rnacentral:lncRNA from 1 species